GACGAACGCUGGCGGCGUGCUUAACACAUGCAAGUCGAACGGAAAGGCCCUGCUUUUGUGGGGUGCUCGAGUGGCGAACGGGUGUGUAACACGUGAGUAACCUGCCCUUGACUUUGGGAUAACUUCAGGAAACUGGGGCUAAUACCGGAUAGGAGCUCCUGCUGCAUGGUGGGGGUUGGAAAGUUUCGGCGGUUGGGGAUGGACUCGCGGCUUAUCAGCUUGUUGGUGGGGUAGUGGCUUACCAAGGCUAUGACGGGUAGCCGGCCUGAGAGGGUGACCGGCCACAUUGGGACUGAGAUACGGCCCAGACUCCUACGGGAGGCAGCAGUGGGGAAUAUUGCACAAUGGGCGGAAGCCUGAUGCAGCAACGCCGCGUGCGGGAUGACGGCCUUCGGGUUGUAAACCGCUUUCGCCUGUGACGAAGCGUGAGUGACGGUAAUGGGUAAAGAAGCACCGGCUAACUACGUG
rnacentral:rRNA from 1 species